GUGCACGCUGGCGGCAGGCCUAACACAUGCAAGUCGAACGGCAGCACAAGAGAGCUUGCUCUCUGGGUGGCGAGUGGCGGACGGGUGAGGAAUGCAUCGGAAUCUGCCCAUUUGUGGGGGAUAACCUCGGGAAACCGGGACUAAUACCGCAUACGACCUACGGGUGAAAGCAGGGGAUCUUCGGACCUUGCGCAGAUGGAUGAGCCGAUGCCGGAUUAGCUAGUUGGAGGGGUAAAGGCCCACCAAGGCGACGAUCCGUAGCUGGUCUGAGAGGAUGAUCAGCCACACUGGGACUGAGACACGGCCCAGACUCCUACGGGAGGCAGCAGUGGGGAAUAUUGGACAAUGGGCGCAAGCCUGAUCCAGCCAUGCCGCGUGUGUGAAGAAGGCCUUCGGGUUGUAAAGCACUUUUGUUGGGAAAGAAAAGCAGCCGGUUAAUACCCGGUUGUCAUGACGGUACCCAAAGAAUAAGCACCGGCUAACUUCGUG
rnacentral:rRNA from 1 species